UUCAUGGGUAAAUAAUUCGAUUAUUAAGCUUAUUUACAUGGCAGUUCUAAAACUGCCAACUGUUGGGGGUUAUAUUUUUUAACUGAUCCCAGAUCGCUUGUUUCAAGAUUUAAUAUUAAAAUCCUCCAAUAAUAUGUAGAACAGACUUUGUGAUUUUCAUAUGAACUUUCCAUACUUUCAAACAAACAAUGAAGGUCAACUUGAACAAGAGAAGAUUGAGAUGACAAAUCAGGAACCCAAUUAGUUAUAAAUCUGUUUUCA